GCAAGUCGAGGGGUAACGGAAGUAGCUUGCUACUAGACGACGACCGGCGCACGGGUGAGUAACGCGUAUGCAACCUACCUUUUACAGAGGGAUAGCCCAGAGAAAUUUGGAUUAAUACCUCAUAGUAUUACUGAAUCGCAUGAUUUGGUAAUUAAAGCUCCGGCGGUACAAGAUGAACAUGCGUGACAUUAGCUAGUUGGUAAGGUAACGGCUUACCAAGACUAUGAUAGGUAGGGGUUCUGAGAGGACAAUC
rnacentral:rRNA from 1 species